CAAUAGUACUUACAUAGAGUAUUGCUACUUGCUUAUCCAUGAACAAAUCUUAAUUUCUUUUUCUUUUUCUUUUCUUUUCUUUUCUUUGCCUCUUGUAUUUCUUCAUAAUCGCCUCCGAAAUCACGUUCUUCACCCACCUCGCUUUCCCUCCUGUUCACAUUUCCAACUACCGCUCCAAUCUCCACCUGCCUCUCUCUCUCUCUCUCUCUCUCUCUCUCUCUCUCUCUCUUCCUCUCUCGCAAUCCUCCGACUCUCACCCUUUUCUCCGUCUCCAAAUCCCUUCAAUGUCAGACCACAACCCGAAAGAACCUAACAUCAACACCCUUAGCGUCGACCUCACGGAACUCAUCCUCUCUUGCCUUCCUAUCCCUUCCAUCCUCCGUGCUUCCUCUGUUUGCAAACUUUGGCGUUCUCUUAUUUCCUCCCCUACUUUUACCUCUCCUUCCCUUUCCCACCCUUGGUUCUUUCUCUUCGGUCUCCACAACACUUCUUCUAGAAACAACCAGUCUUUUGCCUUUGACCCUUUAUCCAACUCCUGGUUUCGUCUCCCUCACCUUGAUGACUCUUCUUCCUCCUCUUUUCUUGGCUCCCAUGGAUUCUUUUUCACCACCACUCCCAAAUUCAGCUACACCCCAGUUCUCAAAUCCACCUGGCGUUUAACCUCUCCCUUGAAGUACUCCAGGAUUAACCCUCUUUUAGGUGUCUUUCAUGAUGGUUCCUCUGGUGGGUACGGCUUCAAAUUCAUCGUUGUUGGUGGGGUCAGGUUCAUUGGUGGCUUGGUCGAUAUGGAGGACAGGUUGGCUGUUGAAAUAUACGAUCCAAAUCACGAUUCCUGGGAGCUCUGCCCUGCUUUGCCGGCUGAUUUCAGGUCUGGGAACUCCAGCCAAUCUCUUUCAUCAGCUUUAUUCAAAGGCAAAUUUUAUGUCUUUGGGAUCUACUCCUGCUUCGUCUCUUCUUUCGACUUACAAAACCACGUGUGGAGCGACGUUCAAACUCUCAGGCCACCUGGGGUCAUCUUUUCUUUCUUGAUUUCAUGCAAUGACAUGCUUGUUUUGGCUGGGAUGUGCAAUGCGCCACGUGGACCGUCGUUUAAUCUCUGGAAGAUCGAUGAAAGGACAAUGGAAUUCAGUGAGAUUGCGAUUAUGCCUCAGAGCUUGUUGUAUAGUUUAGUAGAUAGCGAGGAAGAUGACAAAUUUGCAAGCUUGAAAUGCGUGGGAAUGGGUAAUCUUAUUUAUGUUUUCAAUGAAGAGUAUCACCAAAAGUACCCAGCUUGUCUUUGUGAAAUCAGUGCUGAAAAUGGGAAGUGCUGUUGGAGGAGAGUGCCUCAAUUGCCAUCACCUGUUAACAAGUUCCAUAAAGUCAUUAGCUUUUGUUCAACAGUUUCUCUAACCCAUAUUUUUGACCGACAAGAAGAUGUUGGGCCUGCACAAGCUAUGUAUGACUGACUGAUUUGCCAAAUUACAUGGAAUUUGCAAUCUACUGAAGAUGGCAUAAAAACAUCUCAACAGAAAUUUCACUGUUUUCAUUUGAGCUUGCUUGACAGCAGCACCAAUAACAGAUUUCCAAAAAUCCAAUAAAUGGUGGCUGCGACACUUCGUGUUUUAAUGAAGAGAUGAACUUGCCGCUGCUACUGUAUGAUUCUUCGUCUGCCAGCCCUUGGAUAUUAGUAGUACUUAGAAAACGUUGUGAGUUUUAUUCGCAGAGUCUCACAAGGAAACAAGGUCACAAGUUUUCGUGGCUGCUUGAUUAAUCGUCCUUUGAGAUUGGUCCUCUUGUCUUAGUCAAUUAUGUUGGUGUCUGUAUAUUGAUGGUAUUUUUAUUCUUCUUUUUCUUCAGAAUUUCAAAUGUGAAUUAUAUGAUGGAAUGAAUUUUAUGAAGUGCUUCAACUUAAAACUUUUUCGACUCAAGUAAGGUAGCAUCAUGAGUGGUUUGAAACAUAAUUAACUGUUAUUCAAGUUAACCAUUCCCAUAAGCAGUAAACAAAGUUCUGCAGACUUUAAUGAACAACCAUAACAAGUACA